rnacentral:rRNA from 1 species
CCUACGGGAGGCAGCAGUGAGGAAUAUUGGUCAAUGGGCGCGAGCCUGAACCAGCCAAGUAGCGUGAAGGAUGACUGCCCUACGGGUUGUAAACUUCUUUUAUAAAGGAAUAAAGUGAGGCACGUGUGCCUUUUUGUAUGUAUUUUAUGAAUAAGCAUCGGCUAACUCCGUGCCAGCAGCCGCGGUAAUACGGAGGAUCCGAGCGUUAUCCGGAUUUAUUGGGUUUAAAGGGAGCGUAGAUGGGUUGUUAAGUCAGUUGUUAAAGUUUGCGGCUCAACCGUAACAUUGCAGUUGAUACUGGCAGCCUUGAGUACGGGUGGGGUAGACGGAAUGCGUGGUGUAGCGGUGAAAUGCUUAGAUAUCACGAAGAACUCCGAUUGCGAAGGCAGCCUACUAAACUGCCACUGACAUUGAUGCUCGAAAGUGUGGGUAUCAAACAGGAUUAGAUACCCUAGUAGUC